UACGUAGGGUCCGAGCGUUGUUCGGAAUUACUGGGCGUAAAGAGUGUGUAGGCGGUGCUCCAAGUCUGGUGUGAAAUCUCCCGGCUCAACUGGGAGGGUGCGCUAGAAACUGGAAUGCUAGAGGAUGGGAGAGGUAAGCGGAAUUCCUGGUGUAGCGGUGAAAUGCGUAGAUAUCAGGAGGAACACCUGUGGUGUAGACAGCUUACUGGACCAUUUCUGACGCUGAGACACGAAAGCGUGGGUAGCAAACAGG
rnacentral:rRNA from 1 species